rnacentral:piRNA from 1 species
AAUGGGAAUGAUGAAGAAGAUCU